rnacentral:rRNA from 1 species
AGAGUUUGAUCCUGGCUCAGGACGAACGCUGGCGGCGUGCCUAAUACAUGCAAGUCGAACGCUUCUUUUUCCACCGGAGCUUGCUCCACCGGAAAAAGAGGAGUGGCGAACGGGUGAGUAACACGUGGGUAACCUGCCCAUCAGAAGGGGAUAACACUUGGAAACAGGUGCUAAUACCGUAUAACAAUCNNNNNNNNNNGGUUUUGAUUUGAAAGGCGCUUUCGGGUGUCGCUGAUGGAUGGACCCGCGGUGCAUUAGCUAGUUGGUGAGGUAACGGCUCACCAAGGCCACGAUGCAUAGCCGACCUGAGAGGGUGAUCGGCCACAUUGGGACUGAGACACGGCCCAAACUCCUACGGGAGGCAGCAGUAGGGAAUCUUCGGCAAUGGACGAAAGUCUGACCGAGCAACGCCGCGUGAGUGAAGAAGGUUUUCGGAUCGUAAAACUCUGUUGUUAGAGAAGAACAAGGAUGAGAGUAACUGUUCAUCCCUUGACGGUAUCUAACCAGAAAGCCACGGCUAACUACGUGCCAGCAGCCGCGGUAAUACGUAGGUGGCAAGCGUUGUCCGGAUUUAUUGGGCGUAAAGCGAGCGCAGGCGGUUUCUUAAGUCUGAUGUGAAAGCCCCCGGCUCAACCGGGGAGGGUCAUUGGAAACUGGGAGACUUGAGUGCAGAAGAGGAGAGUGGAAUUCCAUGUGUAGCGGUGAAAUGCGUAGAUAUAUGGAGGAACACCAGUGGCGAAGGCGGCUCUCUGGUCUGUAACUGACGCUGAGGCUCGAAAGCGUGGGGAGCAAACAGGAUUAGAUACCCUGGUAGUCCACGCCGUAAACGAUGAGUGCUAAGUGUUGGAGGGUUUCCGCCCUUCAGUGCUGCAGCUAACGCAUUAAGCACUCCGCCUGGGGAGUACGACCGCAAGGUUGAAACUCAAAGGAAUUGACGGGGGCCCGCACAAGCGGUGGAGCAUGUGGUUUAAUUCGAAGCAACGCGAAGAACCUUACCAGGUCUUGACAUCCUUUGACCACUCUAGAGAUAGAGCUUCCCCUUCGGGGGCAAAGUGACAGGUGGUGCAUGGUUGUCGUCAGCUCGUGUCGUGAGAUGUUGGGUUAAGUCCCGCAACGAGCGCAACCCUUAUUGUUAGUUGCCAUCAUUCAGUUGGGCACUCUAGCAAGACUGCCGGUGACAAACCGGAGGAAGGUGGGGAUGACGUCAAAUCAUCAUGCCCCUUAUGACCUGGGCUACACACGUGCUACAAUGGGAAGUACAACGAGU